UGCCGCAGCCCAGCGCGCGUCAGCGUGGGCUCCCCGGAGCGAGUCGCUAGGUAACGCGGCCGGCUCCGCAGACCCGGGGCCGGGGAAGCCCGCGCUCCGCGUCACAGUGGCGCCGCGGGGCGGGGGCGGGGGGUACACGGACCCUCCCCCAUCCGGGCCUGCAGACCGAGGCCGGCACGCGGCCCCUCCCGGGAUGCCUUAACCCGCGCGGAUCACUGCCGCCGAGGUGCCCCUCCCCUGCAGCCGCCAGCCCCUUCGUCCUGCCCAGCCGGUGCGCACUGCUCUGCGCACGGCCGGGUGGGCGACCGGCCGCCGCGCUCGCAGUCGCCGCCGCCAAGCCCCGGGUGCCGCCCGGACACGACCCGGCUGCGCGCACAGCUCGCCAGCGGCGGCCGGGGACAUGAGCAGCGCUCCCGGGGUCCAGCGCCCGGCGGCCAACCCCAGCCGGCGGCAGCCAGCGGGUCAGCGCUGCCCAGGAGAAUGAGGCAGGAGCCAGCGGCAGCUUCCUCCUCCUCCUCCUCCUCCUCCUCGCCUUCCUCCGGCUCCGGCGCCCCAGGCCCGGGCCGGGCUGUGGCUCUGCUGCGUGCCCCGCGCGCCCCCCGCCCGCCUCCGGAUGCGCUUCUCGGUUAGUCUUUCGAGGAAGAUAAAGACCUUUGCAACCAAGAUGGUGAUCACGGGUGGCAGCGACGAAGACAGAGGCCAGGAGAGGGAGAGUAAAGAGGAGAGCGUCCUGGCGAUGCUGGGGAUCAUCGGCACCAUCCUGAACCUCGUCGUGAUCAUCUUCGUCUACAUUUACACCACGCUCUGAGCGGCCCCCGCGGCCUCGGGAUGGCCAGCAGGCGGGAGCCCCGUGUGGCGCCGGGUCGGUGAGCUGCAGCGCGCGCGCCACCCGCGCAGAUGCACCUUGGAACUUGACCAAAGGUCCCGACACAGCAACCAGGUCUGCCGCGAGGAGCAGACACCAAAGCACAAUGAAUCCAACCAAACCCACUCGCACCACGAGGAACUCGGCGUCUUUGGCAGCGGGCCUGGAAGACGGCGUGGAAGACGAUGCCCAGCCUCCGACGCCGGCGGGGAGCCGAGGGCUGGAGAUGCCCACCGACCCCGGCUGCUGACCGACACCCCGCCUUCGAAACGACACAAUGAACCGGGCACGCGCGGCCCGGCCGUGGGUCCCCCUGGACAAGUGUCUCGUCGCAGCUCCACGGCCGGCUAGCGCAGAAGGCCACAGAGGCGGCCCUCCGACAGGCAUCCCAUUCAUCAGAAGCGUCUAACUAUUUGAUACCAGGGAGAUAACUUAUUUUUCUUUUUUUCAUUGGCUUGACGUGUGUAUCUGUUCCUAUCAAGGUUUAUAAAUCUAUAUUUUUAAUAAAUGUGCUCUAUUUUUUAGCAUGAACCAAAUAUUCCGAGAGACGCUCCCAGCUCCAUAGAGCUCUCCUUGGCUUCAUCUGCUUCGUCACACACUGAGUUGCUCUGCCGUUCUACCCCUCUUGUCUCAUCCUGAAUUCUCUGUCUCUCCCUCUGUCCCCGCCUCCCGCCUCCGUCCGUCCUUUGGAGGACGUUUCUCCUUAAUACCAGCCCUGGGCGUGGCCUUGGUGCAUGUUUUGAGAUUGUCCAUUGAGUGACUUUCUGUCGUUCUAUCAGCGAUACGAGAUGAUCGCGGGCAUGCAGCCCUUCGACACAGCCUCUCCCGAGAAUUCCGCACGGACAAGGCGCUGAGCGCAGAGCAGCUGGAGUGGAACGGACGGACUCCGCGGAGGAAGAGGAGCCUGGCCGUGUGCAGAGCGGGCGCCGCGCAGUCUCACCUCCUUCCCGGCAGCCCUCUGACUGCGUCCCCGUGGCCGUUCCGUUGCCGAUUUUGAUUUGAAUGGCCACGUGCCGUGAGCUAUGGGGAGACCCCAGCAGGGCUCGGCCUCAGGUGCAUAGUUCCUUCCUUAGCAGAUCUCCGGGGAUCCCCUUCCAGAGUCGCUGGGGUGUGAGUGACAAGCUCCUCACUGUGAGAGCUCACACUGGGUUGAGCGGCGAGGACGGGUGGCUUUGCAAGGGCACCAGAAGGGGAUUCAGCGGCCGCCCUAAAGGGUGGCCGCUCCUCUUACAGCCCCUCGUUUACACCCUGCCUGGCAGGGGCACUGCCCUGUUCUGAAACGGGCACUCACCGGGCAGCAGCGCCUGCCCUGCCCGUGGGCGGCAGCAGCAGCAAGAGCAGGUCCACAUGAUGGGGAGGACAUCUGUGCCCCAGCUCUCUCCCCUCCCCUAGCUCUGGCGUCUGAAAUUCCACCGUUAGAGUCAUUUCUUGGGCUCUGAGAAGGGACCAGGCUCUUUUUUUUUAAAGCAAACACACCUGCGCAUCUGGCUCUGCCCUUGACUCCUUGGAUGUCUUCCCUUCCCUGCCAGGGGAGGGCGCCACGUGCCAGGCGCGUCCCAAGUUCCUGAGGUCCUUGGGUCCUGUGGAACCCCGUGAGUGACAGGAGGGUGCAGAGAGGCCAGGACACCUCCCGAGGCCACGUGGCCGCUGAUACAGUCAGGGUUCCAACCCCCACCUGUGCGAUAGCUCCAGCCAAGGACGGGGACAAGGGGGAGUGAGAGGUGGGGAAGGCACUUGGGGGCCAGGACGCGAAGCCGAUGCAGCUGCCGAAGCCCAGCUCUGCACACCUCCUACCCCGCGCCCUGGGAACUCCGCAGACACGGGCAGACCAUCCUACGUGUGAGGACGUGGGCGAGAGGGGCUGGGGGGAAGUGUGGGGGAGCACCGGGGGAGGUGUGCUUCUUCGUGUGGUUCUGGAAAGCUGUAUGAGAAUUCCGCACAGUAAACAGCGUGAACAAUAAAGGUGCAAUGGAAA